GCUGGGCACGGUGGCGCAUGCCUGUAAGUCCCAGCAGCUCUGGAGGCUGAGGCAGGAGGAUCACAAGUUCAAAGCCAGGCUCAGCAAAAGCAAGGCACUAAGCAACUCAGUGAGAUCCUAUCUCUA
rnacentral:sRNA from 1 species